rnacentral:lncRNA from 10 species
AGGAACCAUUGUAAUCUCUGCAUCAAGUUCAAGUUCACAAAUAAGCAAAGACAGUAAUUGAUUCUGAGAGAAAUUUCUCCAAGGAUUCCUGCAGUUCUCCUUUGAACAUACGAAGAGGGAACAUUCUUUCAGUCCUAGAAGUUGCUGAAGCAGAGAUGGAGAACCCCAGACUGGAGGGCUUUGAUUUCACCCUGCACAUCUAAGGGCAUAAAUUGGUUCCAGGUCAGGAUCAUAUGAGCAUAAGUCUGAGUUGGGUGUCUCUGAUCAUUCCAGAAUUCCAUUGGAAGGCAGACUUAUAUUCCUGAGAAGCAGGAAUGAGA